GGCUCAGUAGUACGCAGCUAACCUACCCUAAGGAGGGGGAUAAUCCCGGGAAACUGGGGCUAAUCCCUCAUAGACCUGGGGCACUGGAAGGUCCCUAGGUUGAAACGGGUGAGCUGGCAUGCCGGUUCACCUGCCUUAGGAUGGGGCUGCGUCCGAUCAGGUAGUUGGUGGGGUAAAGGCCCACCAAGCCUAUGACCGGUGCGGGCUCUGAGAGGAGGAGCCCGGAGAUGGAUCCUGAGACAAGGAUCCAGGCCCUACGGGGCGCAGCAGGCGCGAAACCUUCACAAUGCCCGAAAGGGUGAUGAGGCUACCCCGAGUGCUAUCCGCAGAGGGUAGCUUUUGUCAGGUCUAAAAAGCCUGGCGAAUAAGGGGAGGGCAAGACUGGUGUCAGCCGCCGCGGUAAUACCAGCUCCCCGACUGGUCGGGAUGAUUAUUGGGCCUAAAGCGUCCGUAGCCGGUUCUUUGUGUGAUUCGUUAAAUCCAGCGGCUCAACCGCUGGACUGCGAAUCAUACUAAAGGGCUAGGGGGCGGGAGAGGCCAAGGGUACUCCGCGGGUAGGGGUAAAAUCCGCUGAUCCGCGGAAGACCAACAGUGGCGAAGGCGUUUGGCCAGAACGCGCCCGACGGUGAGGGACGAAAGCUAGGGGAGCGAACCGGAUUAGAUACCCGGGUAGUCCUAGCCGUAAACGAUGCUCGCUAGGUCUUGGAAGAACUUCGUGUUCUGUCAGGGCCGCAGGGAAGCCGUUAAGCGAGCCGCCUGGGGAGUACGGCUGCAAGGCUGAAACUUAAAGGAAUUGGCGGGGGAGCACCACAAGGGGUGAAGCCUGCGGUUUAAUUGGAGUCAACGCCGGGAACCUUACCAGGGGUGACGGCAGAGUGAUGGUCAGGCUAAAGACCUUACCUGACGAGCCGAGAGGAGGUGCAUGGCCGUCGCCAGCUCGUGCUGUGAAGUGUCCUGUUAAGUCAGGCAACGAGCGAGACCCCUGCUGUUAGUUGCUUCUUGUUUCCGAAAGGUGAUGGGAGGAAACUAACAGGACCGCCGCCGAUAAGGCGGAGGAAGGUGGGGGCUACGGCAGGUCAGUAUGCCCCGAAACCCCUGGGCCACACGCGGGCUGCAAUGGUGGAGACAAUGGGAGCCGAACUCGAAAGAGGGAGGUAAUCUCUAAACUCCACCGUAG
rnacentral:rRNA from 1 species